rnacentral:lncRNA from 10 species
UCUGUCUCUCUCAAUCUCUCUCGGAGGCUGAAGAUGUGAUUGGGCCAGCUGGUGACCUGUUGCUGGCCUCAUGCUUCCACAUGAAGAUGCCAGGCUGCAAAACGGAGAAGAAGGAAGCCCAUGCAGAGAUGGCUUCUGAGUGAGAGCUUAGGAGCAGCUGCCCGGGUGCCCGUAGGCGGUCAGAUUUCUAGAUGCACUUCCUGUUCUUGGGUUCCGCAAGACACCCUCUGGCUCUUUUGCAUACAUUUUAAGCAACUACUUCUGAAGUUGGGAAAUCAGGAGUAGCCGCUGACUCUAAAGAGAAACUAUAUCAAUUUGGAAUGUAUUUGCAUUAUCAGUGAGUUUACUGGAAGUAUUAAAGCUGGACCAUCACUUGGAGAUGUUGUAAGGAAAUGUGAACAUUUGGCGAACAGACCUUUAAAUAAAGAAGGAAGCCAUGGGAGUGGCUGAGAUCUCCCUGAGAGAAAGUGGAGAGAUGUUCAGAGGAACCACCCCUGUGGACCCAGGAACAGGGUCUGUGUCCCUUGAAGCACGUGACAGCAGAGGACGGGAGGCUCCACCUGAACAUGACCAGGGGUCUCCUGGGGAGGAAAAAUGGAGAUGGAAGCUGCAGAGGAAACGAACAGCUGCCCCCACACAUGCCGUACAAGGCCUGCAUGGGAUGAUCUGAGAGUCACUUUGCCCGAGGUCACACGCCCCUCCUGGAAACAGCCAUCAUCCAAUGACUGGUCAAGAAAGGCCUGGCCCCCUUGCCUUGAGGCAGAACUGUGAAGGGCCAUCCCAGCUCCAGAGUCCUCUGUGGGUUCAGCUAAGUGAGGCUUUUUUUUUUUGCCAUUCAACUUCUCCUCCUGGCCAAUCCUACUUUCACUAACCUUAGGUUUU